AUUGAACGCUGGCGGCAGGCCUAACACAUGCAAGUCGAACGAGUGGCGGACGGGUGAGUAAUGUCUGGGAACUGCCUGAUGGAGGGGGAUAACUACUGGAAACGGUAGCUAAUACCGCAUAGUAUCGGAUAACCCAUAUGGGAUUAGCUAGUAGGUGAGGUAAUGGCUCACCUAGGCGACGAUCCCUAUCUGGUCUGAGAGGAUGAUCAGCAACACUGGGACUGAGAGACGGCCCAGACUCCUACGGAGGAUGCAGUGGGGAAUAUUGAACAAUGAGCGCAGGCCUGAUGAAGCCAUGCCGCGUGUAUGAAGAAGGCCCUAGGGUUGUAAAGUACUUUCAGUCGGGAGGCGUUACCGACAGAAGAAGCACCGGCUAACUCCGUGCCAGCAGCCGCGGUAAUAC
rnacentral:rRNA from 1 species